rnacentral:rRNA from 1 species
AUUGAACGCUGGCGGCAGGCUUAACACAUGCAAGUCGAGCGGGCGAGGUUGCUUCGGUAACUGAGCUAGCGGCGGACGGGUGAGUAAUGCUUAGGAAUCUGCCUAUUAGUGGGGGACAACAUUCCGAAAGGGAUGCUAAUACCGCAUACGUCCUACGAGAGAAAGCAGGGGAUCACUUGUGACCUUGCGCUAAUAGAUGAGCCUAAGUCGGAUUAGCUAGUUGGUGGGGUAAAGGCCUACCAAGGCGACGAUCUGUAGCGGGUCUGAGAGGAUGAUCCGCCACACUGGGACUGAGACACGGCCCAGACUCCUACGGGAGGCAGCAGUGGGGAAUAUUGGACAACGGGGGGAACCCUGAUCCAGCCAUGCCGCGUGUGUGAAGAAGGCCUUUUGGUUGUAAAGCACUUUAAGCGAGGAGGAGGCUUACCUGGUUAAUACCUGGGCUAAGUGGACGUUACUCGCAGAAUAAGCACCGGCUAACUCUGUGCCAGCCGCCGCCGUAACAC